rnacentral:tmRNA from 1 species
GGGGUCGACCGGAAUUGACAGGAUGGAGACGGUUAUGUAAGCAUGCAGUGCAUUGUUAGUCUAGCACUUUAAUCUGAACUUUCAACUUUUUAAAUGGCGAAAAUAACUACGCCUUAGCUGCCUAAUUUAGAAUUAGCAUAGCUUUUGUUCCGCUGUAUUCUGCUUCGUAAUAUAGCGUCAGGAGCAUCGAUUAACGAAGCUAGUUGGUUCAGAGACGUGAUGAAUCAAUGAAAUAAAACGUCUACGGAAAACAGUACAGGUAAGCAGCCGACCUUCUAUUUCCCGACAAUUAAACGGAAGCUAAGCAUGUAGAAAGCAUAAACAGUACCAUGUUUGGACGAGGGUUCGAAUCCCUCCGACUCCACAA